rnacentral:rRNA from 1 species
GACGAACGCUGGCGGCGUGCUUAACACAUGCAAGUCGAACCGAAAGGCCCUGCUUGCCGGGUACUCGAGUGGCGAACGGGUGAGUAACACGUGGGUGAUCUGCCCUGCACUUCGGGAUAAGCCUGGGAAACUGGGUCUAAUACCGGAUAGGAGCCAUUUUUAGUGUGAUGGUUGGAAAGUUUUUUCGGUGUAGGAUGAGCUCGCGGCCUAUCAGCUUGUUGGUGGGGUAAUGGCCUACCAAGGCGGCGACGGGUAGCCGGCCUGAGAGGGUGGACGGCCACAUUGGGACUGAGAUACGGCCCAGACGCCUACGGGAGGCAGCAGUGGGGAAUAUUGCACAAUGGGCGCAAGCCUGAUGCAGCGACGCCGCGUGGGGGAUGGCGGCCUUCGGGUUGUAAACGCCUUUCGCUAGGGACGAAGCUUUUUGUGACGGUACCUAGAGAAGAAGCACCGGCUAACUACGUG